GAUCGCAGGGUUGUCCUCCAACACCAUCAGCCGAUUGAAACAAAUUGGAUUCCCGAGGAAACAGACUCAGUCGAAGACUACUCAAUGGACACUCAGGAAGAAGAUAGUCCAAGUGAAACAGAUGCAGAGGAAGCAGAUCAACUUUGACAAAGAAGAGAAGAUUGUCUUAACUAUGGCGAGACUAUGGGAUCCACUCGCACCAACCUAUUAUGUGUGUUGGCUUGCGAAACAUGCCUUUCGAAUCGGUCACAACUUGCCGAGGACGUGAUUCUAGGAGAAGCGAACUUGGGUAGUAUUAAUCUAAUUGUCUGAAAGAUCAAAGGGUCUAUAUAGGGAAUAUGACUUAAUGUCUCUGCUGUUGCUAUUCAGAUUGCAUUGGGUGGGUACAAAGUCUUGUGUCAUAACUGGUGGCUUCUUUGAACUGUAAUGUUUUGAGCUUGCAGCAGGUUGCUCACCGGUUUUUGUGACAUUAACAAAAUUUAUAGGGGGAUGUUGACAACUAAA